rnacentral:rRNA from 1 species
GUGCCAGCAGCCGCGGUGAUACAGAGGUGGCAAGCGUUGUUCGGAUUUACUGGGCGUAAAGGGUGCGUAGGUAGUUUUGCGUGUCAGAUGUGAAAGCUCAUCGCUCAACGAUGAAAGUGCAUUUGAAACUGCAGGACUGGAGUACGGGGGAGGAGAGUGGAAUUCUUGGUGUAGCGGUGAAAUGCGUAGAUAUCAAGAAGAACACCGGUGGCGAAGGCGACUCUCUAUCCGAUACUGACGCUGAGGCACGAAAGCUGGGGGAGCAAACAGGAUUAGAUACCCUGGUAGUCCCAGCCUUAAACGGUGUACACUUGGUGUGGGAGGAUUUGACCCCUUCUGUGCCGGAGCUAACGCGUUAAGUGUACCGCCUGGGGAGUACGGCCGCAAGGUUACAACUCAAAGAAAUUGACGGG